UACGAAGGGGGCUAGCGUUGCUCGGAAUCACUGGGCGUAAAGCGCACGUAGGCGGACUCUUAAGUCGGUGGUGAAAUCCUGGAGCUCAACUCCAGAACUGCCUUCGAUACUGAGAGUCUCGAGUCCGGGAGAGGUGAGUGGAACUGCGAGUGUAGAGGUGAAAUGCGUAGAUAUCGGGAGGAACACCUAUGGCGAAAGCACCUGCCUGGGCUUCUAUUGACGCUAAGGACUCGAAAGCUGGGGGAGCAAACAGG
rnacentral:rRNA from 1 species